CUUAUUUCACACUUUUUUAGAUGUAUUGAACGACAAAAUGUCCGGUUUUCCCGAAGCUGGAUCCCCAAAGUCCCGCUCAACGUGGCUGCUAAAGCAAUUUUCAUCCGCGGAUAGUUAUGAGGAAACCUGGCCUGAUCUUCUUGUUGAUCGGAGACCGCUACCAGAGCGAAGGGGUUGGAACAAGACUGAUCCUGUGGCGGCGGUAGAGAGAAGCAAUCUUGUAACUAUUAGUCAGCUUGUGAUCAAGAACCUUGUGGAUUCAAGCCUCAAGAGAGGAAGACAGGUUGAAACGGGAGAUAUUCUACCACUACACCAGUUUUUCAUCAUAUUAGAACUCGUGUUCAAGCAUGGGUUCAAAUCUGGUAGACGGUUGAUGCUGGGAGGGAAGGAUCUUUGGGAUUUGUUACAACAGGUUCCUCGAUUUGACCCUUCAGCUGAGGAUAUUGUUGCAAGUGCGCGUGAAUUGCCUCACAUCAAAACAAAUGCUGGCCGUUCACGUGUCUGGUUCAGACUAGCGCUUAUGCAGAAAAAAUUGGCGGAUUAUUUCAAGGUAUUAUUGGAUCACAAAGAUGAUCUUCUUGUUGAAUAUUACUACCCGGAGUCCAUGCUGUUCUCUGAGGAGGCAACUCUCCUUCAAGGUUUGCUGGUUAGCCUCAACAUUGUCGACUUCAAUAUCAUCGUUAAAGACGAGGAAUUGGAUUCUCAGGAAACUGUUAUAGAUCUCUCAAUGUAUCUGAGACGGAAAGAAGAUAUUGGACGCUUAAACUCUCAGGAGGAGGAAGAGGAUGUGGGGUCCUCAGACCUUCAGACUAUUAUUGAUCAGAAGAGUUAUAUUGAAGAGCUGAACAGAAACCUGACGGUCAACAUUACAAACCUACAGGCUAAAGUCGAGAGGAUGACUACCAAGAAUAUGCUGAUGAAUGAAGACCUCAGCAUUAGCAAAAGAAAACUCAAGGAAGCAGAGAAAGAGAACUUGAAUUUACUAGAGCAACUGAAGCAAGCAGCUUCUGAUACGGAAAGGCAUCAGCAUAGGGAAAUGGAGCUGGCCGUCAACGCGUUGGAACCCACUGCCGAGUCCGAGUUGGAGUCAAAGCUUCGAGUUGAAGGACAAAAGAUCAAGCAGAUAGAGAAGGAGCUGUUGCUAGAACGGCAGAUGAAGGCUGAGUGUGAGAUUGCGAUGAAAUUGAUGGAGAAGGAUGUUCAUGAGAAGCAGGACACUAUUAUUUCUCUCAGGUCGCAACUGGAAGAUAUCAAAGCUAUCAACUUAGAAAUGUACACAAAGUUGUCCGAAUGCAAAAAGACGAUCGAACUGAAAACUGGUCUCAUUAAUACACUGGAAGAAAAGACUGUCGGACUCCUAGAGACAAUGCAGGAGUUAGAUGAUAAAUUUGUGGAGUCGGAGCAGAACCUAGGGGCAGCUAGACUAAGGAUCAAACAACUAGACACUACACUUCAGGAGAGAAGUGAUGGAAGAACAGAGCUUGAACAGGAUAUUAAGAUUGAACGUGAAUGGAGGGAACGGUUGCAGGAAAGCAGCAUGAACGAUAGAGAAACAAUUGAAAAUCUGAAGAAAGAGAUGGAAUUCUUGAAACAAGUGUCAAAUGAUUAUGAAAAUAUCAGGCAGGAGAAUCUACGUGUGAAGGAACUGAACCGUGAGCAGGAUAAAACACUGGAAGAAUUGGGACAACAGCUUAGUUGGACUAAACUUCAGAUGGAUUCUCUCAAGGAAGAGACCCAGGUGCCUGGUGCAUGGGAGAAGGACUCGGAAGCUAGCGCCUGCAAAGGCUGCGACAAGGAGUUCAAUAUUGCAAGGAGGAAACAUCACUGCAGGAACUGCGGUGGUAUAUUCUGUGAUAAAUGUUCGGAUAACAAAAUGGAACUUCCAUCUAGUGCCAAAAAAUUAAGGGUGUGUGACAGCUGUUAUCUGCUACUUUUAGAAAGACAGUCAAAGAUGUAAAGAACGGGACAAUCAUUUUAUCCUAUCUACCAUCUAUAAAAAUUCAAGGAUAUUCUAUUAAAUGUUUAAAACUCGAUAUGUUUAAUAAACGUUUAAUUGUGAACAACUUCUUGAAUUCGGUUACCAGUAGUCCCACGAACGUAGUUGGGAUAACUAUUAUCUAAUUUAUUUUAUUAAACUUGAUACUGCAUGAUCUGAAAAAACUGUGAUAGUCCAAAUUUUCCUCUGUUUUUCUGAUUCAUCACAAAAUUCAGAUUUAUUUUAUACAUGUUAGACGUGAUGACAUUUCUGAUUUUAAGUUUUAUCAAUUUUUUUUUUAUCUAAUAACAACCUGUAUUUUCA
rnacentral:misc_RNA from 1 species